rnacentral:rRNA from 1 species
GAUGAACGCUAGCUACAGGCUUAACACAUGCAAGUCGAGGGGCAGCGCAGUGUAGCAAUACAUGGGCGGCGACCGGCGCACGGGUGCGUAACGCGUAUCCAACCUUCCCGUUACUCAGGGAUAGCCUUCCGAAAGGGAGAUUAAUACCUGAUGGUGUUGAAAUUCCGCAUGUUAUUUCAACUAAAGAUUUAUCGGUAACGGAUGGGGAUGCGUGACAUUAGAUAGUAGGCGGGGUAACGGCCCACCUAGUCUACGAUGUCUAGGGGUUCUGAGAGGAAGGUCCCCCACACUGGAACUGAGACACGGUCCAGACUCCUACGGGAGGCAGCAGUGAGGAAUAUUGGUCAAUGGCCGGAAGGCUGAACCAGCCAAGUAGCGUGAAGGAUGAAGGUCUUCGGAUUGUAAACCUCUUUCAGCAGGGAAGACAAAAGGCGGUACCUGCAGAAGAAGCCACGGCUAACUACGUG